GAGGAAUCUUGCGCAAUGGGGGAAACCCUGACGCAGCAACGCCGCGUGAGUGAGGAAGGUCUUCGGAUCGUAAAACUCUGUCGGAUGGAAAGAACCGCAUAGGAGUUAAUAGCUCCUGUGUCUGGCGGUACCAUCAGAGGAAGCACCGGCUAACUCCGUGCCAGCAGCCGCGGUAAUACGGGGGGUGCAAGCGUUGUUCGGAAUUAUUGGGCGUAAAGAGCGUGUAGGCGGCCGGAUAUGUCAGAUGUGAAAGCCCUGGGCUUAACCCAGGAAGUGCAUUUGAAACUGUCCGGCUCGAGUAGGGGAGAGGGAAGUGGAAUUCCUGGUGUAGAGGUGAAAUUCGUAGAUAUCAGGAGGAACACCGGUGGCGAAGGCGACUUCCUGGCCCUAUACUGACGCUGAGACGCGAGAGCGUGGGUAGCAAAC
rnacentral:rRNA from 1 species